GCCCCCGCCCGCCACCGCCGCGCGGCCCAGCCGGCGUACCCGAGCCUCACUCCCCGCGAGGGCCGCGCGGAGGGGCGCGCAGGAGGAGGAGGAGCCGAGGACCGCGGAGGGGAGGAGGGGAGUAGGGGAGCAGCGCUGGGAAGCCGAGGGCUCCUCGCGCAAGUGCCCGCAGCGCCCGGAAGCGUCCAAAGGCCCCGAUGCUGGGAGAAUAUGUGGAGGCCUCUCGGGGAACCAGGACCACUUCCACGAUGACGCAAUAGUCAUGCCAAAGUAUACAUGUAUAUUUCACCUCCACCCGGCAGGCCAGAGCCAUCCUCUCGGCCUCUAAGUGCACAACGAAACUAGAAAUCAAGGAAGAGAGACCAAAAGGGUUAAAAAAAAUAAAAAUUUAAGGCGCGUGGGGUGGUGGGGGUCCUUGAGCUGGAAAGCAGAGACCCUGGCUUAUUGCGUGGUUCCCCCACCACCACCACCACCCCCACCGCACGCCUUCCGUAGCACGAGCUUGAAUCAUUUACUAUGAAACCGGUGACUAAGGGAGAUACAGCGUGUUGAACCACUGAAGCACGCCCCCUCACACACCAGCAAGAAAAGGGAUACCCCGUCGGCUCUGGACCUGGCAAAUGUACCUGGGCUCCCCCUGGAGGCCACAUUCUCCGAGGUCCCCUUUCGGUCCCCAGUGUCCCUCAGGUAUUCCGUUGUAAUCCCGGAUAACUGAUACACCCUAGUGCUCUGAAACUUGGCCUGUGCUCGAGGCGGCAACCCCUGCCCCUCUGCCUGGCGACGCUUGAACACACCCGUCUGACCAGGUCCCGUUCACUGGCCAAGAGUGUAGCAUUGAACAUGGGGCACUGGGGCGGGGGUGCACUCCACGCUGACACCGCACUCCACCCCUUAACUUGCUGACCAGGGAUAAUCGCUUCCUUUCAUCGAUUCACAGCGUUAGAAAAAUGCAGCGUUGAGAGGCAGCGCGGAGGUCAACUGGACCAUCACCCUUAGGUUGCAGGGAAGAAAACUGAGACCUAGAAAGGUGAAGCGGUUGUCCCAAAGGCUUCCAGCUACUCCCGGUACUCAAGGACUUGGAGCACACUUGGGGAGAUUCUCACUGUUGUAUUCCCGUUCCUCACUUUUCAGGAGGCCUGAACUCUCAAACUCCGAAUCUGAUUUCCACUCUCCCACGAAGGCUACGGAAAUAACGGAAAGUUCCUUGCAGAUUCUCACUGAGCCUCUCCCCAGGCCCCACCCUUUGGCCCUGUGUGUCUGCGACUAGGUGGAUUGUCAAUACAGGAGUCCAUACUGACUCUGAAUCCCUAAUUUUGGCCUGUAUUCUUCUUCCUCUCUGAACCAUCUUUUUAGAAGUCACUGUACCAAGAGUGCCAGAAAACCAUCCCAAGACUCACAUAGGGUUGUUCCUCAUAGUGGAUGUUUUGGCCACUGGACAUCAGAACCAAAUUUUGAGUUUGAAGAAUCUUCUACAUGUGAUGACCUACUAAAUGAUUUCACAGUCCACCAGAGGGUCACGGUCCACACCUGGAGACACUCCAAUGCAGGUCUCUGCUGACUGAGUGCACUGGCUUGUGGCUGGAGGUGAG